GUGAGUAGUUCAGAGUUUGAUCCUGGCUCAGGACGAACGCUGGCGGCGUGCUUAACACAUGCAAGUCGAACGGAGUUUCUUGGAUCAAGACUUCGGUCAAGUGAAUUGAAACUUAGUGGCGGACUGGUGAGUAACGCGUGAGGAACCUGCCUUUCAGAGGGGGACAACAGUUGGAAACGACUGCUAAUACCGCAUGAAGCAUUCGGGUCGCAUGACCUGAAUGCCAAAGAUUUUAUCGCUGAAAGAUGGCCUCGCGUCUGAUUAGCUAGUUGGUGAGGUAACGGCCCACCAAGGCGACGAUCAGUAGCCGGACUGAGAGGUUGACCGGCCACAUUGGGACUGAGAUACGGCCCAG
rnacentral:rRNA from 1 species